rnacentral:tRNA from 1 species
GCCUUCGUGGUGUAGUGGUUAGCACGCUCGACUCGCAACCGAAGGUUCGAUUCUUGGCGAAGGCG